rnacentral:rRNA from 1 species
CUGCUGCCUCCCGUAGGAGUCUGGGCCGUGUCUCAGUCCCAAUGUGGCCGUCCACCCUCUCAGGCCGGCUACUGAUCGCUGCCUUGGUAGGCCGUUACCCUGCCAACUAGCUAAUCAGACGCGGAUCCAUCUUACACCACCGGAGUUUUUCACACUCCCCCAUGCGGGGCUGUGCGCUUAUGCGGUAUUAGCACCUAUUUCUAAGUGUUAUCCCCCAGUGUAAGGCAGGUUAUCCACGCGUUACUCACCCGUCCCG